rnacentral:misc_RNA from 1 species
GAUGAAGAACGCAGCGAAAUGCGAUAAGUAGUGUGAAUUGCAGAAUUCAGUGAAUCAUCGAAUCUUUGAACGCACCUUGCGCCCUUUGGCUAUUCCGAAGGGCAUGCCUGUUUGAGUAUCAUGAACACCUCAACUCUCAUGGUUUUUCCAUGAUGGGCUUGGACUUUGGGGGUCUUGCUGGCCUAUAGUCAGCUCCUCUUAAAUGAAUCAGCUUGCCAGUGUUUGGUGGCAUCACAGGUGUGAUAACUAUCUACGCUUGUGGUUUUCCAUCAAGUCACCUUCAGCGAUGGAGGUUCGCUGGGGCUCACAAACGUCUCUCCUCAGCGAAGACAGCUCUUGAACGUUUGAUCUCAAAUCAGGUAGGACUACCCGCUGAACUUAAGCAUAUCAAUAAGCGGAGGA